rnacentral:rRNA from 1 species
UACGUAGGGUGCAAGCGUUGUCCGGAAUUAUUGGGCGUAAAGAGCUCGUAGGCGGUCUGUCGCGUCGGCUGUGAAAACUCGGGGCUCAACCCCGAGCCUGCAGUCGAUACGGGCAGACUAGAGUGCUGUAGGGGAGACUGGAAUUCCUGGUGUAGCGGUGAAAUGCGCAGAUAUCAGGAGGAACACCGGUGGCGAAGGCGGGUCUCUGGGCAGUAACUGACGCUGAGGAGCGAAAGCAUGGGGAGCGAACAGG